UGUGACUCAAAUAUUAGCAAGUGAUUAACCUCGUCGCUCUCGUGGUUAUAAUUUGGCGGUUUAAGUGACGGAGCAGGUCACCGUGGUACCUAUAUUGCUAUCUCAAAUCUUGUCGACCGAGUCAAAACUGUCCAAGCGAUUAAUGCGUUCCAAUGUAUCAAGCUGAUCCAGAAUAGACGCCACAGUUCGUUGAAACAGCG